AAGGGAGAGGAAUACGUAGAAAUCUACCCCUGAGACCGGGAUAGCGUCGGGAAACUGGCAGUAAUACCGGAUAAUGUCUUAGGACCAAAGGUGUGAUUCCACUUGGGGAUGAGUCUACGCCCUAUUAGCUAGUUGGUGGGGUAAUGGCCUACCAAGGCGAUGAUGGGUAGCGGGUGUGUGAGCAUGAUCCGCCUCACUGGGACUGAGAACUGCCCAGACACCUACGGGUGGCUGCAGUCGAGAAUCUUUGUCAAUGGACGAAAGUCUGAACAAGCGACGCCGCGUGCGGGAUGAAGGCCUUCGGGUUGUAAACCGCUGUCGUAGGGGAACAAAUGUACGGGGGUACUCCCCUGUAUUUGAGUGAUCCUAGGAGGAAGGAGAGGCUAAGCUCGUGCCAGCAGCCGCGGUAAGACGAGCUCUCCAAACGUUAUUCGGUAUCACUGGGCUUAAAGAGUUCGUAGGCGGCCUAGCAGGUCAGGUGUGAAAUCCCACAGCUCAACUGUGGAAUAGCGCUUGAAACCGUUAGGCUUGAGGGAGAUAGAGGUAGGCGGAACAGAUGGUGGAGCGGUGAAAUGCGUUGA
rnacentral:rRNA from 1 species